AGUGGCGAACGGGUGAGUAACGCGUGAGGAACCUGCCUCAAAGAGGGGGACAACAGUUGGAAACGACUGCUAAUACCGCAUAAGCCCACGGCUCGGCAUCGAGCAGAGGGAAAAGGAGUAAUCCGCUUUGAGAUGGCCUCGCGUCCGAUUAGCUAGUUGGUGAGGUAACGGCCCACCAAGGCGACGAUCGGUAGCCGGACUGAGAGGUUGAACGGCCACAUUGGGACUGAGACACGGCCCAGACUCCUACGGGAGGCAGCAGUGGGGAAUAUUGCACAAUGGGGGAAACCCUGAUGCAGCGACGCCGCGUGGAGGAAGAAGGUCUUCGGAUUGUAAACUCCUGUUGUUGAGGAAGAUAAUGACGGUACUCAACAAGGAAGUGACGGCUAACUACGUGCCAGCAGCCGCGGUAAAACGUAGGUCACAAGCGUUGUCCGGAAUUACUGGGUGUAAAGGGAGCGCAGGCGGGAGAACAAGUUGGAAGUGAAAUCCAUGGGCUCAACCCAUGAACUGCUUUCAAAACUGUUUUUCUUGAGUAGUGCAGAGGUAGGCGGAAUUCCCGGUGUAGCGGUGGAAUGCGUAGAUAUCGGGAGGAACACCAGUGGCGAAGGCGGCCUACUGGGCACCAACUGACGCUGAGGCUCGAAAGUGUGGGUAGCAAACAGGAUUAGAUACCCUGGUAGUCCACACCGUAAACGAUGAUUACUAGGUGUUGGAGGAUUGACCCCUUCAGUGCCGCAGUUAACACAAUAAGUAAUCCACCUGGGGAGUACGACCGCAAGGUUGAAACUCAA
rnacentral:rRNA from 1 species